AUAGAUGACAUCAGUGAAAAUGCUAAUGGUCAGUCUCAUCUCAUUGGGCAGCUCUAUAAUAAGAGUUCCAGAUUCUCACCAGCAGUACCACAUUGGGCAUUUUUAAUACCAAAAAGGCAUCUCCUCUAGUAUAUCUUUGGCCUAAUCUUUUUCUCAUUAUUUGUCUACCUUUUUAUGGAGGAUCUUGACAGAUCGGGCCAAAUCUUGCUCAUCCUAUCCAUUUAGUCCCAUUGAUUUCAAAAUGCCAGCUCCACUCUGAAGACAGGGCAUUCCCUUGCUGCCACAACAGGUCUGGUUCUGCCCCCACCUUGCAAGCAGGCUGUAGUACUCCCCUGUAAUGGAUCUGUGAAUCACAUUACUCAAAGAAAGGACAUUUUCAGAUUGGAGACAUUUAAGUGGAUUUAUUCCGCAUGAAAGGUGUAAAAUCACAGACAAUGG